GCGGUACCCAAAUGUGUUGGUGGAAUGGGUUUUAGGGACCUCCAAUUAUUUAAUAAAGCCAUGUUAGCUAAACAAGGAUGGAGGCUAUUGACUAAUCCCAAAUCGCUAUGUGCAAGACUUCUGAGAGGGAAGUAUUAUAACGGCAAAGACUUCAUGACCGCUACAAGAAGAAGGGGAUCCUCACACACAUGGCGCGCCAUAUUGUUUGGUAGAGAAGCUCUUGAGCUGGGCCUAAUCAAGAGGGUCGGUGAUGGCGAAUCAAUUAAAAUAUGGGAUGAUCCGUGGAUCCCAGCCAACUAUAACUACAAGACCUUAGUAAAGCUUCCUCUUGCUGCAGUUAAUAGAGUCAAUGAACUACUGGAUGUAGAUAGCAGACAUGGGACGAGGAAUGUGUGA
rnacentral:rRNA from 1 species